rnacentral:rRNA from 1 species
AUACGAAGGGGGCUAGCGUUGUUCGGAAUUACUGGGCGUAAAGCGCGCGUAGGCGGACUGAUCAGUUGGGGGUGAAAUCCCAGGGCUUAACCCUGGAACUGCCUCCAAUACUGUCAGUCUUGAGAUUGGAAGAGGUGAGUGGAAUUCCUAGUGUAGAGGUGAAAUUCAUAGAUAUUAGGAGGAACACCAGUGGCGAAGGCGGCUCACUGGUCCAAUACUGACGCUGAGGUACGAAAGCGUGGGGAGCAAACAGGAUUAGAAACCCUUGUAGUCC